rnacentral:rRNA from 1 species
GACGAACGCUGGCGGCGUGCUUAACACAUGCAAGUCGAGCGGUAAGGGCCCUUUCGGGGGUACACGAGCGGCGAACGGGUGAGUAACACGUGGGUGACCUGCCCUCAGCUCUGGGAUAAGCCUGGGAAACCGGGUCUAAUACUGGAUAUGACUCCAUGACGCAUGUUGUGGGGUGGAAAGCCUUGUGCGGCUGAGGAUGGGCCCGCGGCCUAUCAGCUUGUUGGUGGGGUGANGGCCUACCAAGGCGACGACGGGUAGCCGGCCUGAGAGGGCGACCGGCCACACUGGGACUGAGACACGGGCCCAGACUCCUACGGGAGGCAGCAGUGGGGAAUCUUGCGCAAUGGGCGAAAGCCUGACGCAGCGACGCCGCGUGAGGGAUGACGGCCU